AUUACUUUAGUGUAAGUUUAGCAUGACUAAUUUCCAAUUAGGGGGUUAUGGUAAUA
rnacentral:tRNA from 1 species